GUGAGCGGCAAAAGCUCAAAUUUGAAAUCUGGCUCUUUCAGAGUCCGAGUUGUAAUUUGAAGAAGGUAUCUUUGGGUCUGGCUCUUGUCUAUGUUUCUUGGAACAGAACGUCACAGAGGGUGAGAAUCCCGUGCGAUGAGAUGAUCCAGGCCUAUGUAAAGUUCCUUCGAAGAGUCGAGUUGUUUGGGAAUGCAGCUCUAAGUGGGUGGUAAAUUCCAUCUAAAGCUAAAUAUUGGCGAGAGACCGAUAGCGAACAAGUACAGUGAUGGAAAGAUGAAAAGAACUUUGAAAAGAGAGUGAAAAAGUACGUGAAAUUGUUGAAAGGGAAGGGCUUGAGAUCAGACUUGGUAUUUUGUAUGUUACUUCUUCGGGGGUGGCCUCUACAGUUUAUCGGGCCAGCAUCAGUUUGGGCGGUAGGAGAAUUGCGUUGGAAUGUGGCACGGCGUCGGUUGUGUGUUAUAGCCUUCGUCGAUACUGCCAGCCUAGACUGAGGACUGCGGUUUAUACCUAGGAUGUUGGCAUAAUGAUCUUAAGUCGCCCGUCU
rnacentral:rRNA from 1 species